AACGAACGCUGGCGGCAGGCUUAACACAUGCAAGUCGAACGCCCCGCAAGGGGAGUGGCAGACGGGUGAGUAACGCGUGGGAAUCUACCCAGUUCUACGGAACAACUGAGGGAAACUUCAGCUAAUACCGUAUACGCCCUACGGGGGAAAGAUUUAUCGGAAUUGGAUGAGCCCGCGUAAGAUUAGCUAGUUGGUGGGGUAAGGGCCUACCAAGGCGACGAUCUUUAGCUGGUCUGAGAGGAUGAUCAGCCACACUGGGACUGAGACACGGCCCAGACUCCUACGGGAGGCAGCAGUGGGGAAUAUUGGACAAUGGGCGCAAGCCUGAUCCAGCCAUGCCGCGUGAGUGAUGAAGGCCUUAGGGUUGUAAAGCUCUUUCAGUGGGGACGAUAAUGACGGUACCCACAGAAGAAGCCCCGGCUAACUUCGUGCCAGCCGCCGCAGUAA
rnacentral:rRNA from 1 species